rnacentral:rRNA from 1 species
GCGAAAGUUCCCUUCGGGGAGCAAGUAGAGUGGCGCACGGGUGAGUAACACGUAGGUAAUCUACCUUUGGGUUGGGAAUAACACCGAGAAAUCGGUGCUAAUACCGAAUAAUGCAGCGGCACCUAAUGGUGACAGUUGUUAAAGCGGGGGAUCGCAAGACCUCGCGCCUGAAGAGGAGCCUGCGGCGGAUUAGCUAGUUGGUAAGGUAACGGCUUACCAAGGCGAUGAUCCGUAGCCGGCCUGAGAGGGCGGUCGGCCACACUGACACUGACAUACGGGUCAGACUCCUACGGGAGGCAGCAGUCGGGAAUUUUGGGCAAUGGGCGAAAGCCUGACCCAGCAACGCCGCGUGAAGGAUGAAAUCCCUCGGGAUGUAAACUUCGCAAGAACGGGAAGAAUAAGUAGGGGGCAACACCCCCUAUGAUGACGGUACUGUUUGUAAGCUCCGGCUAACUCCGUGCCAGCAGCCGCGGUAAUACGGGGGGAGCAAGCGUUGUUCGGAUUUACUGGGCGUAAAGGGCGCGUAGGCGGCCACCGCAAGUCGACUGUGAAAUCUCCGGGCUUAACUCGGAAAGGUCAGCCGAUACUGCGGGGCUAGAGUGCAGAAGGGGCAACUGGAAUUCUCGGUGUAGCGGUGAAAUGCGUAGAUAUCGAGAGGAACACCUGCGGCGAAGGCGGGUUGCUGGGCUGACACUGACGCUGAAGUGCGAAAGCUAGGGGAGCGAACGGGAAUUAGAUACCCCGGUAGUCCUAGCCUUAAACGAUGAAUGCUUGGGUGUC